rnacentral:lncRNA from 1 species
GAAGCAAAAAUUAUCCUUAAGAAAAACAACAGCAAGCACGACAACACAAGCUAUACAGAUGAGAAAAUGGGCUCAUGAAACACGGCACUAAACAGUCACAGGACCAAGAUAUAGAUUCUUAUUUCCAGGAUAAAGUCCAAACAUAAUUCCACAACGGGGAUAUGACAUUCAAAUCAACUAUGGAACUUCCAUAAUUACAUAAAACCCCUCGACCACAGAACUGCUAUUGAAUUGGAGAAGCUUUGCAAUAUUCCCCAAGACAGGACCGUGUGGCUGUCAGAUUAACAGAAGUCAAGAGAGGUGAGACAACGCUCGCCACUGCAAAAAGCGUUUCGAGCAUAAUGACC